GAAAGCUGGAACCCCGACAACCAUUGCCAUGUUGUGCUCCAUCCAGAACCCUCCUCCCCCAACCCCAGGGCUGAGCAGAGGGCUGGCGCUCAAUCCAUGCACUUGGAAACGAACUGUCAGCAAGCCAGAGUGAUGCCAUUUUCCCUUGGCCAUGGGGCGACUGUGGGUGUCCCAGGAAAAUGCCCUGCACGUAAGCUGUUUUGAAUCUGGCACGCAUUGGAGAGUCCCUCCCGACAUCUUCAUGAAUCACAGAGGGAACUAGGAGCUGAACGUUGGCCAGUUAAGGUGGGGCGACCCAGGCAGAGAGCUGAGAGAGGAGGUGCCGGUGUUUGAAUGUGGGCAGCCUGGCCCCCAGUCGGAGCUGCUGGACGCCGUUCCAUCCCGCCUCUGAUAAAAGUCCCACCGGUCAGUGGAAUGGGAAUCUAUUGGUUCGAAGUGCUCGUCGCUGGAAGUAGCGGAAUGCUCAACCAACGCUGGUACAGAUGGAGGAUUCGUUUUAAACUGGCCUCACGAGAAGUUUGGCGUAGAUGGUCGGAGUUAUUGCAAUGGCUCCCAACAGGGGCCCAAAUUCUUUCUUUUCCCCCCACCCUUAGAAUAUUGGCUCUGUCCUCAUGCUUGCUGCCUCAUGGCCUCAACAUGGUUGCUCCAGCUCCAGCCUCUGGUUUGUGUUCUGGUCAGAAAGAAGAACAAGGCAUUCUGUGUCCAGAAGGGGAGCCUGUGUCUGGCUGAUGUCUUGUUGGCUAGACAACAAGUUGGGGGAGAAUGAUCACCCCCAACUUCAACGGGUCUGGGAAAUAAACUAUUUUAGCUCCCUAGACUCGUCAGCAAGGGGAAGGCAAUUGUGGGUGCCUUUAGGUAGUAAAUCCGCAGGGCCCAGCGUGGGGCCUUAGAGAGGGUGUAUGUAAAAUGCUAACUCCAGUGCCUGACACAGAUUAAGUGCCCAAGGAGGGAACACUUUAUCCUUAUUAGCGAAAUUUGCUAAGGAAUGAAUUUUAAAAAGGGGAAGGAUUAAUAUCUUACAGUGCAAAUUGGGCCUUAGUAAAUGGAUUUCCUUCUAGUUCUUCUCUUGGCUUCCACUGGCUUUCUUGGGGUUGUUCUCGUGUCUCCCAUCUCAGACAAAGCUUCCACUGAGAUCACCAGCGUGGGGGGCAUUCUGAGCCCCCCACCCCUCUUCCUGGGCUCACUGCAGACUGGAGGCUUUGUGCUGCCUGGAGAAACUUGGCUUUGCCCACCAGUUACAAAACAACUGGAGAGUGUGUUGGGCCAGGGGAAGCCUGGAUUGCCCUCAGACCUAUCAGUGAGAGUUCUGGGGGAACCUGCACGUUCGUGCCCCGCCCUGAUCGAUUGGUGAUUUCACCGCGGAGACCUUGCUCUCAAGUCUCAAGACCUUCCUCUCAGCCUCCUGACUCUCCAGAAACCUACUGCCCUGUUCUGCAUGGUUCUGUUUUUAAGUGUAUUUUCAAAAAUGCGUUCAUCCAGAUAGAACUCAGAAUUCGUGAUAAAUUCAGGAUAACACUGCGGGCGUUUACAGCAGUAGGCUUCAUCACCAGCAUGGAGCCUAAUGUGGGACUUGAACUCAUGACCCUGAGCUCAAGAUCUGAGCUGAGAUCAAGAGUUGGACACUUAAUCGACUGAGCCACCCGGGAGCCCCCGGUACAUAGCAGUUGUGACACACGGAACAGCAGGGGUCAUCUGGCCACCCGCAGUGGCGCUCUUUCGCUAUCAGGCGGGCAAAUGAUCCAGUUCUAGAAUCAGAGUUUGCUUGCUACAACCACUUCUUAAACCAUCUUGGAUUGGUCUCCCCCAGAAGCAACCCUUGUAAGUAGUUGAUUUAGGAGGUGAUGUCCGGGAACACCUGCAGGUGGACGGGAGAGGAAGAGCACAGCAGCCGAGGGACGGUGUACUAUCAAGCCGGUUUCUAGCUGUGGGCAACUGGAGCUCAUUCCCACUGGAGAACCGUGCGGUGGUGCGAACACAGCUCAGACUUAACCGUGCAGAGGAGUGGUACUUACAGGGGUACUUACCCUCCAACCUGCGUCAGUUAUGGCUUGAGGGCUACUUCUGGAAGCUUCUUCUUCGGCAGCUCUUGGGCACAUACAGCCCAUGGGCUAGGCCUGCUCCUACAGCAGAAAGAAGCCCUCAAGCAGAGUCAUGGGUUUGCAGUAAGCAGCCUUUGGCACCUGGAGAAGAAUGCCAAGGGGAUCUGUGUGGGCUACUGACCGCAUCGGCCGCGGGGCUCAGAAUAGGGGGCUCCCCGCUCCCAAGCAGCCUAUUCUGACCUUGGACUCCAGGUUGCUGGAAAGCCCUUUCUCCAGAUCCAAAAUCAAGUCCCAAUGCCUAGAACCUGUAAAUGCUGUCUUCUUGGGGAAAAUGUUCUUCGCAGACGUGAGCAAAUCAAAGAUCUUGUGAUGAAAGAUUACUCAGGGUUUGGGGGGCAGAUCCUGGUUGUUAUCACAAAUGUCCUUGUGAGACAGACACGGGGAUCUGAGGACAGAACAGGAGAAGGCAAGGUGACCACGGGGUGGAGAUUGGGACAAAGCCACCGCGAGCCAAGGAAAGUAGCAGCACCAGAAACUGGAAGAGGCAGGGACGAAUUCUCCCCUGGAGCCUCUGGAGGGAUGCCGCCCUGCCCACACCCUGAUUUUGGACCAGGGAUACUAAUUUUGGCAUUUUGGCCUCCAGAACUGGGGGCAAAUAAAUUUCUGUUGUUUGAAGCUACCGAGCUUGUGGUAAUUUGUUUCAGAAGGCCCAGGAAAUUCAUAUAGCAUUCCUGGAUUUCAUUUCAUGGCUUUGAGCUCCUUAGCUCUGUCAGGAUAGUUCUUUCAACAUCUGUAGAAGGGCCUGUGCUCCCUGGGUCUUUUUUCCUGCAGGCAAAGCAGGAUACCCCAAUGUCCUCUGCUCGUCCUCCCACCGACAGACCCCCUCUUCUUCAUCCCUUUACAUGGGUAAAGAAAGAAGGUUAGCAACAGACUACAGCCAGACCAGCCCUGGACCUUCUCCCAGAGUCUGGAAGCUGAACCCAAGAACUGUUGCUAGUCCCAACUGAGCUCGAGCUUGCCGGGCCUCAUCGUGAAUGGUAGAGGGUGUCUGUGUGCCCACCUUUGUGGCUGGCUCGGCUGGCAGCAUUGUCUCUGUCCUUGCCUGAGCUCCCAGAAUGCCUAGUGGCCGAGUCCAAAAAUUAUGACCACAACUCGUCACUAACUUCCAAAGAGUGGGGCGCCUGGGUGGCACAGCGGUUGGGCGUCUGCCUUCGGCUCAGGGCGUGAU